CCCACGGCUCACGCCGUGGGCUAAACCCUUGCGCCCCUCCGGGGCU
rnacentral:sRNA from 1 species